CGCACCCUUUCUGAUCGGGCGGGAUAUUUAAACCGUUAACGUCCCGCCCAUCAUCUGGCGCUGUUCACCUGUGGUACUUCAAACACAACCACUGCUGCACCCCGCGUUGCAUAUAUUGUAUUUCAUAAACAGACCAACAGGCUGAUAAUAUAUGUUGAUGUGGAUAACGCCUUUGUUGAGGAAAUAUAGCUCAGCCUUCUGCUGCUGCUCUUACCUGCUUGCUGCUGCUAGCUGUUGUCAGCUGUUGUCAGCUGUUGUCAGCUGUUGUUAGCUGCUGUUAGCUGCUGUUAGCUGCGGCUAGCUGUUGUUAGCUGCUGUUAGCUGUUGUUAGCUGCUGUUAGCUGCGACUAGCUGCUGUUAGCUGCUGUUAGCUGCUGCGUUCAGUGGAUUUUACAUCCACUAUUAGAUUCUUUCUAUCAUUGGAGCCACUCGGAGGAGCUGUGCUGGACAAGCCAUGAUAGUUGCAUCACUUCCCCGUGGAUUUACUGUCUGCUGAGAGAUGCCAGGGAACGCUGUGUCAUCACAGCUGCUGUGUGUCAUGAGCAAGAACUGCUGCUGGGUGCAGCCUGUCGAGACAUUGACCCCGCUGACCCCAGAACCAGUGAAGAGAGGAAGGUCAGAAAAAAGGAGGAGGAGAAAAGAAAAGAAAGCGAGCGGUUGAAGCCGGGCCGAGGCCCUGACAGCUGCGUGGCGAAGGACGUUCCAGCCUCUGCCCGUCUCAGCACAGAGAGAAGAUGUAGAAGGUCAGAGGACGCCGACGUCUCAGCGUGAAGAGAGUGAAGAGGUGUGAACAUACCAAUGGGAGUCUCCUCGAGGAAGGUCUUGGCGUUGAGACUGGCUCCGUGAGACACCAACAGCUCCGCCACAUGCAUCUAAAAGCACAACGACGACAACAACAGUAGUGAAUUACAUCGGCGGAUAAGAAAACCUUCUCGGUUUCCUGUCGUGUUCACCGUACCUGACCCCAGCACGCUGCAGCGUGAAGAGGCUGCCAUCCAUCCGAGUCCCUCAGGUCCAUGCGAGCUCCGCCCUCCAGCAGCAGCUCCGAGGCCUGGACGUAGCCGUUAGCCGCUGCUAUGUGGAGCUACAACGACAGAGGAAGAGGCACAGUGAUCAGUGAUUUCACACUUAACUCAAGCUGCUGUCAGACCUGCACUAAAGAACUGUGAAGCCCGAUCAUCUAUCAAGAAUAACCUGCAGCUCUGCGGCACUUUCCCAGAAACCACACGUGACCGCUCACACUGUUUUAGCGCCAUCAUCCUCUGGUUUGGAAGCAGCCUGUGCAUCAGUCACAGCCCAUUUUCCAAAGUCCAUUGGACCGUCUGACAAGCCGCUUUGACGGAGAGAGCUGUCUGGGGUGUGUCUGCGUGGAGGACACACAGUUCAGCUCUAAAUGGCUCAAUCUAAACGCUGCUGCUGACCAGGCGCAGCAGCAGCAGCAGUGUUGUCUACACAACUGCAAAUACACAGUGUGGUAAAUUGUGAAUCAUGAUGAAAAAACCCCCCGCUGCAGUUGGUUGGAAAGAGGCUCCUACCAGUGAGGCUCCCUGAGAGUCCUGCUGGUUGACCUCCUCUCCCAGUCUCAGCAGUUCCUGAAUGUCUCCCAGCAUCCUCCUCUCAGUUGACGCCCGGGUCUCGUUGAUCAUCUCCUGGGUGAUGCCUGUCAAUCAGAACACACACACACACACACACACACACACACACUGGAAUAACAGUGUGUUGGUCGCUGCUGGCGGUGGACAGUUUUUGAUCUUGGGGGGCAGAGCAGGAGCUCGGGCACGACAGAGCUGUAAGGAUUGUACAUAACACUUCCAAGGUGAUCGUUGUGGAGAGAACACUUAAUUUCACUAGAAGUUUUCAUGUGACAGCAUCAGAUGUGUGACAGGAUCAACAAGGGGCCAAACUUUUUGUCGUAACAUCCUGAGUAAAAUAAAAUCAAAACAAUGUUAAUGGCUGUAAGAAACCGACAGCUCUGUGCAGCAUUCGUGUUUGGACUAUAUAUUUGACAGUCCGGAAUUUAAAAUGACUGUUUUGUCUGGAUGGCAAACAGUCGACUACUCAUGUGGACUAAGUGUUGUGGUGUGGAAGCUCAGCUGAUUCUGUCCGUCACAACUACUAUGACCAUUUCUUUCUUUCCAUCGCCCUGCUGCCAGGUACAGUGGGACUCGACACUGUGACUGCCACACUUCAGUGAAUAACAUAUCCUCCCUCGCCUCAGCAGUGAUCUCCUGCACUGUUCAGCAAAUUUAAAGAAAUGUCAGAUUAACAGUCACAGUCAGAACUGUGUGUGUGUGACUAAAUGUGAGUUAUGUGAAGGAUGAAUGAGGUCUAUGCAUUUUAAAUCAAUAAUAAAUUAGUUUAAGUGUUGUGGAUGAAAAUAAAAUAACAAUUCCGUGUUAACACAGAGGGAAAAAAACAACAUUUAGAUUUAUUUGUCCGUGGGAAAAGGUUAACGAUCCUUCAAAUUAGAGCGGCUGGAAAUAACAUAGGGUGAAUUAUGCAUAAUAGUUUCCUGCAAGACUUUUUGCAAAAUGUCUUGUUCUGCCUCAUCGACAGUCGUGAACUUAAAAGCUGUUAUUACAUUUAAAAUGAUUUAAAGCAGAUAAAAGGUCGGACACAUUUUUUUUUCAGCUGUAGCUGUCAGAGGAGAAGUGUAUUUGUGGUUCUAAUUUUAAAACAAUUGGUCAAACAAGAUAACUGAGGCAAUGUUGAUCUUCCAAGUGUGUUGUGUUCCAAAGCCCAAGGUGACGUCUGCAAUUUAAUCUGGUAGUAACAAAGUAUUUUACCGUUUCGCAAAUUAUUUGUCAUUUUCUGACAAUCAUCAAGUCAUUUCAGCUCUAAAUCAAACUUUCAAACUGAUCUUAAGCAACACUAGGUCCAUGGUUAUCAACGGUGUAGGAUUUUAACUGCCAAUUUUUCAUCUCUCCAUGUUUGAUAUUAAUUUAAGACACAGAAAAAUGACAUUAGCCACGUCAGUUGAAGCCAGUUGAUCCAACUCUUCCUACAAUCUCAACUUUCUGUACCAGUUCUAUUCCAGGCAGACGUUUCCCCCCUCAUCACUGCGGCUGAUCACGGAUGAACUGGGCUCUACAGAGGAGGAUCAAGGAAGAGGACGAUCAGUCGAUGCUGCAUACCAAGUGAUGCGAGUUGUGAAAGAAAGAGGAAGUGAGACAGAGAGAGAGAGAGAGAAACCCUGUGCCCAUCCCUGUGGCGUCUCUGGAGGGAGAAAUCUUCUCCAUCAGUACGUUGCCUGGCACAUUACGGGAGCAAUUAGCAGCGCCGCUCUGCCUUUGAUCAGCUUUAUAAUCAUUCUUCUCACCUACUGUACUGCUAUCUGCAUCCUGCGGCUCCAGAGAUCCUAUUGUAAACCCAGAACCUUAUUUUCCAACUUUCUGUUUUCUCUCUCUCUCUCCAAUAUUGUCUCACAUCCAGGACGAAACUCACAUUGUCCCAUUUGCACUGUUAAAAGAAUCAAAAUCAUUAACCCUGUACUUGUUUACAAUACGCUUCGUUUCAUAACUUGGAUUUCCUGACCUUUAAUUAUCCGGGGAAACAUGACCGACGGGACACUCGUCCCGCUCUCCAGCGCCACCUUGCUUCCACACAGUCUUCUGCCUUUUACCACACCGCAACCCCACUGAACUGCAUUUUGAGAUUUGGUGUAAUUUGAAGGGCACCGUGACCAAGGAAAAUCACAUUAUUUUUUUCAGCCUGCUCUAACAACUCCAGCGUGUCCACGUGAUGAAUCAACAGCAGACCCACAGCCAUGUGGGGUAGAUGAUGUAAUCUGGAUCUGAAUUUCUCUGUUUACCGUCUCUGGGAUCCAGAGACGAGUGCCUGAAAAGAUUUACGUUUAACUGACAGAGUGUAGGAAGCUCAUACCUUGAUAUACAGAAGUUGUUUUUGCUGCAGUAAGUGUGUUUACAUUGUGACAUAAAGAACUGCAGUUUUUCUUGGUUCUUAGUGCUGUCGAUCUUUUCAUUCGACUCUCAGCCAGAAAGCCAAAGAGUGUCGUCCUCCAAAUUUCUGAACUAUUCCUUUAAACCAUCUUUAUCUGAGCAGCUCAUCUUGGCAUCCGUCCCUUUGUGUUUCUCUCAACACAAACACCCUGCUACCACAGAUUUUGCUGUCUUGUUGCCAACUGUGCUCACACUCACACAUGCCUGUAGAUGUAAGUGUCGACUGGAAAAAACAAAAACCAAAGCGAUAUGUGACAAUGUGUGAAUGUAAACAAAGCUGUCUGUCACCACAGACUCUCUUAGUGACAGCGUUUGAUUCAACGCAAACACAUUGAAACCAGCGGGAGUUUCCGCUCCUUCGUCACUGACGUGCAUUUAUGCUCCUUGAACUCUCUUCUCAGUCGUGUCACACAGACAAAACUGUGCCGACUGCGGCUGUCGACAGUGACACAGCGGGAAACAUACAGUAUUGCCAUUUUGCAUCCCGUCGGUAGAGAGAGAGGGAGCACUGUGAAUAUCUCAGAGCUCCCUGAGGUGUCAAUCCUGUAACUGCGGGACACCAAGUCCUUUCUGAGGUCACAUUGCAGCGCUGCCACCUUCCUCAGAAACCUGUUCCUGAAGCCGAGUUC